ensembl:lncRNA
CGGCGGGUUAGGACGUCAACAACAGCCAACAAAUUAUUAGAAAUGAAGACCAUUUGUGAAAUGAAGAUUUUCAGGUUCCUGGCCACAUAUGUUCUCAUGUAUUUUCGAACGGACUUUCUCUGACUGUUGACCGCGGAAAACCGUGAACGAGGUUAUCAGAGAGCUGCGAUAAGAGAGGAAAACGGAGAGGAAGAGAAGCAGCCCGACGCGGUGUGAAGGAAUGGAAUAAACCCCAGAGCAGAACCAGAGGAAGGAGGGAUGACUGCCGUGAGAUGAAAGAGGGAUAGAGCAGGACACAGAACAACUCGAGAGACCAUUCAGCUGUGAAGAGACAGAAGAAGCCAGAAGAUCACACAAACACCCAAAGGUCUCCUCCCCUUCAUCUACUCU